UGGGCUAUGUCUGGGGAACUGCUAUCUGCUGCUGGGAAUGACCAACACAGGCCCUUGUGACAUCAGCUAUGAUUAAGCAGGGUCCAGACAGCCAGAGAUUGGAAUUUGGAUCCCCGUCUACUGAGUGAAAAAAAUCAGUAGUCACCAUAAAGAGUUUGCUUGUAGAGGCUGGAGAGGGAGUUUCAGAACCUUUGAUAUGACCACCAGAGGAAGGUCCUACAACUAUACAAGACUUGGCAAAAGAGCCCCAUGCUGCUGAUAGAUUUGUCUCAUGGCAAGUUCUCAAACUUUCCUCACAUUGAAGAAAUGCCAUCAGGUGGGUGGCAGCUGGUGGUAACCUGUGUAAGGGGAAAGCAGAAAAGCUGCAGCAGGUAUCACGGAACAGAGAGCCUGGACAAGCACAGCAGUGGGGCAGAUGGACCUCACUUAGCUUUUACAGGCACGGGGACAGGACUGCCAAUAGGGUGGACAUGGCAGUAACUACCUGAGGCUACAAUCAGCAGCCGCUGUUUGGACAGUUGUCACAACAAGUUUUGUGGCAAUAAAUGCAAUGAGUUGGUCAGGCAGCACUUUACUGAGGUAGCAGUCUCCAGAGGAGUCUGGACUGUAAUUUUUGUAAAUGGAGACUUUAAACCAAAAGCUAUAUGCAGAUGCAGUAAGCACUGUUCACACAAUGUAACAAGCGCAUACCUCACUUACACCAAUGAUUAAAUAUGAUUGCAUUAAUCCCUAUCUAAUGGUUUCCUUAUAACAAACUAUUAAGAUACUACUAUCAGAUUAAAACAUA